ACCUGAGGGUACAGCAGCAGUGCCGAAAGAUACAGAACCAAACAUGUCUGCACUAGCCGGAAGUGUCUGAGAUGAAGACGGGAUAAAGGCAUCACCUGGAGUUGCAGGAGUCUGUCAGAGAGAGGGGGAGGAUGCAUGAGGCUCCUGGGAGACCUGGCUCAGCGCUCAUCCAGGAUGGGAGGCAGCUGGUGCAGGAACAUGGCUUCCUGCAACCUGUCUCCCUGCCAGCAAGUCUGAGGUGCCUGCUGAACCUGGCGCUGGGAAUCCAAUGCUUUGUGAGAAGGAGAGCUGGCUAUUGGCAAUAGAGGAAUGGAGAAACCAUCACCCAAUAGCCUCAUAAUACUCAUCUGUCAGAACUCACUCUCACCCUCGGUGGCAAAAGUGACAUUCUGCCACUCAGCCUCAGCGACAAGGCUGCAAAGCAGAGCCAGGGAACCAGCGUGCCCACUACAGUGGGGCCUUGGGACCAACCAUCAGCAAAUUCCGUCAUCAACCAUCAGCUUCCGCCAGGCACUGGCUCCCCACGAGUCAACUGUGGCUAAGAGCAGAGGACGAGCAGCCACAUCGAUAACCACAUA